rnacentral:misc_RNA from 1 species
UCAGCAGGUACAUCAGUGAUUUCAACUGGAUACAGUACGUGUUUCUCCCUUUGAUUGACAGGAUGUUGCUCCCUUUCUUCACGCUUCUGCUCAACCUCGUAACACUUAUCACAAAUCUGAAAAUUUUUGCACUGGUUGCAAACCCAGCGGUUUCCAGAUACCAUUAAAAUACAACAGUGGGUGCAGCAAUGCUGUAAAUGAACCAUGAUAAAAUCUUCCUUGUCUUCCUUCAUUGGGCAUAUUGUCUCACCAAGUUUAUGCAUUAGUAGCAGAUCCUUCGACGCGUUACCAGAAAGAUCUGACUGACCAGAAGCUUUUAGAGCCCUUUUUGUAAUGGUCUUUUUGGUAGUUCCCUUCUUGUUCUGUUUUCUGCCAUCUUCUUCUUGGUUAAGCUGAUAAAUUAAAUCCUCCGCAGCACCAGGCCAAUAGUCACCAUCAAAGUAUGGUAACCUUGCUGCCGUUACCUUUGCUUUACAUUCACCAGUAGAUACAAAGAAAUGAUCAUAUAAAUUAGUUAGCUCAACCACAAUAUUUUCCUUAGUAGCUUUUCUCAGCAUUGACAAAUACCACUCCCGGAGUUUGUCAGAUUUUGGUGUUUUCUGGAUUUCUGGAUGACA